CUGAACUCCUCACACCCAAUUGGACCA
rnacentral:piRNA from 1 species